CUGAAGAGUUCUGUCGCCAGGGAAACGUCAUCCAGUUGAUUCCACACCACCACAGCCCUGCUCCCACCACCCUCUGCCUGGUCUGGUCGCUGAUCUGCCCAGACAAUGCAGGGUUUCACUCUGAGAGACAGAACCUGUCUGUUUUUUCCUCGUUUGCCUUCCCUUUUUCCAUCCCCCUGGAGGCUGAGCAGGGAAAGUCACAGCUUUUCUUGCUGACUGACAUCUCCGGAUCAAAAGAAAACAGAAUCUUAGAAUGUCGCUGGCAGAGAGGGCCCGCUCAAGUCUAAUAUGGCCCUGUCACUCUACAGUGGUGACAACUGUGGCUACAGGGUGGCCAUCAUUUUCUUGAUUUCAGCAAUAGCUUUGCCUGGAUUCAGCCCCUUGGGGCAGGACCUUGUGCAGUUCAUGAUGGUGUGGCAGCGGUCCAGAGAGAACGGGCCCUGCAGCUUGGCCAGGCGCUCCUCAGUGAAGUCGUCUUCUAGAGUCGAUCAUCCAGGGGUAGGCCUGCAUGAGAACCGCAGGCCCCAGGUAUUUGUCUCCAUUCCACCAGUAGCUAGGGCAGCUGGUGCUGCAGCAAGCACAGAGGAUACACUCAUACAGCCCGGCCAGUUUCUCACGAUCUUCUAUGGACUGCAGAUACUGCUGCUUGCCCUCCUGGGAUUCAUCCUUCUUCUUCAAAUAAGGUUCAAUGGAUUUGUACUGAGCAUAGAAGUUGCUCAAGUCAGGAACCAGAUCCUUUAUCACAUACAUAUGUGGCAGAGGGUAGAUUUUGGAGACUUUGCUGAGGUUGGUGUGGAUCCGGCGGGUGCAAGCCAGAGUAUUGCCUCCGUUGAUGUUCAUGGCACAGGAGCCACAGAUGCCUUCUCUGCAUGAUCUUCGGAAGGUCAAGGUCCUGAAGCUAAAAAAGCUGCAGUAGCUCAUGUGCCCAUCCUGGCCAACGGCCUCGGCAGCGGUCAUGUCCAUGCCUGGUGCAGCACAUCAGGCUCCAGCCCUGGCCCCAAGCGCUCCACCUGAAGGCCUCGGACAUCACACCUGCCUGGUCAUGGAUCAUAAAAUGUCCGAGCUGGGAAGGGAUAAAGGAAGUAUCUAGUUCCACCUGCUCUCCUAACAGGUGUGGAAAUACAGAUCAAGAGGGGAAUAAGAACUUGCCUGAUGCCACCCAGAUCGUUUACUUUAUAGACGUGCACCUUGAACUCAGGGAUUUUGGAGCCUGGGUCACAUUAGAAUAGUUUUCUCUACUCUUCAUUUCGUUUUGGAAGCAAAAACUAGCCUUACUCUAGAUAAUUUGGGUCUGCCACAGUACAUGUGACUUUCUCAAGGGAUAAUUUGGUUGGGUACUACAAGAGACCCAAAUAACAUUUGAGGUCUUUGGGGGCUUGGUUAUGCUGGGAGUGGGUAACCCCAACAUGUCAGCAAUUCCAGCCAAGGUCCCUUCAGCCAAAAUAACUGCAUGUCUUUAUUAUUAUUAUUAUUGAUUUAUUCAUGAGCAGCUCAAAGAGAGCCUGAUGCAAGACUCGAUCCCAGGAUUCUAGGAUCAUGACCUGAGCCAAAGGCAGAUGCUCAACCACUGAGCCACCAGGAGCCCCAUAACUGCAUGCUCUUAAGAUGUCAGAUCCCUACAGAAAAUUACUGUUGUUUUUAACUUGGAGACACUCCAUCUAGCUUUAUGCAAGAAAUAUGCUUCUAAAAACUCAUCUAUCUAAUGAAAAUUGAUGCAUAAAUGCUCUGAGUCCAAAUAUCCUUUUAAAAUAUUCACACUAGAGGUAGCCAUAGUUGCAGCUAUGGUGGAAGAAGCAUCCACACUUAACACAAACCGGUUUGGGUUUUUUUUUUUAUGAAAUUACAUUUUUUCAUUGACUUUCCAUUAUAAUUCCCACGAAGCAUUAAUG
ensembl:lncRNA